UACAGAGGGUGCAAGCGUUGUUCGGAAUUAUUGGGCGUAAAGCGCGUGUAGGCGGCUUUGCAAGUCGGGUGUGAAAGCCCUCAGCUUAACUGAGGAAGUGCGCCCGAAACUGCAUGGCUUGAGUACCGGAGAGGAUGGUGGAAUUCCCGAAGUAGAGGUGAAAUUCGUAGAUAUUCGGUGGAACACCAGUGGCGAAGGCGACUCGCUGGACUGAUACUGACGCUGAGGUGCGAAAGCGUGGGGAGCAAACAGG
rnacentral:rRNA from 1 species